UACCCUUGACAUGUACGGAAGGCUGCUGAAAGGUGGCUGUGCCUGAAAGGGAACCGUAACAC
rnacentral:rRNA from 1 species